CUGCAAGCGCUAUGAAAUUUCAAAUAUAGAAUCGAUCCACUAGUCUCUCCUUGAAACAAUGGCUGCAGCGUUAUACGCAGCUCUGGUGUAUACCACUGGUAUAAACAUUCAGACAUCACUGAGGAGCAAAAGUGAUGAUAUUACUUUAUACUUAUAGCAUUGUAUCAACUUCUGUUCACUUAGAUAUAACAGUUUGAAGUAAGUCUUUACUUGACGAUGUUCUAGUUGAACUGAACCAAGAAAGUGAACCUGAAUCCCGUAGCUUUUCAGGUCACAGUAGGCUUAGAUCUGAGCUGUCUUACUGUUGUCUAGUGGUAGACUACCACUGAAGUGAGGAUUAGGAAGAGAUUGUUGUCUUUGCUUUUACUACCUGAGGCCAUGAUUACAUGUAAUGAAACAUCACUUUGACUGUUUGAAACUUUAAGCUGAACAAAACAAAAAAUGAGAAUCAAGUCCUGGCUCCUGUCACCAUGCACAGUCCUUCUCAGAACUUACCUGAAGACAACUGCAGAUUAGAAGCUGAAAGUGAUAGAACACCACUGAAGUGAGGAUUGAGAAGAGUUAUUUGGCCAUGACAAGAUGCUUAGAAACAUCACUUUGAGACCUUGAAGAAAACAAACGCAACAACUAAUGAUGAAAAUACUGAUAACAACUUUAAUGAUAUCAUUCUUUACAAUUUAUGCUUUUAUUACAAAGAAUAUUUAACAUUUUUAUCAACUACAAUACUAGAAGUUAAUGUGAUGAUACAGAGCUAUGUUAUAGAUGUGUGUGAUUUUGGUCUAAGGUCCAAGGUACUUAAACAUAAAAGUAAUAUUUAAAUUUCCCUUUUGAACAAUAACAUCGUUUCCUAGCCUUAUAAAUGUCUCAGGCUUAAAGCCAUCUAGAAGUCUAGGUUGUAAAUUCUAUUUAUGUCUGUCCCAUGGAAAAAAUGUGAAUAUUAUAGCUUGAUGUAUAGCCCAGAUUAGAGCAUAAGACAGGUCUUAUACGUUGAUUUAUAACUUAGAUGGAAGUUGUAUGUGAAAGUUUUCAAAAGUGAUACUGAAAGUAUCCAAAUAUAUCUACAAAUGAAACUAUACAUUGUAGAAAUAAAUAUUGAGUUAACUUUGAUGAACAGUAUAUUUGGUUUAUGUGAUAAAUAUAUAGUUUUAAAAAAGUAUAAUUUUUUUUCAUUCCUUGUAUUGCAUCUACAUCAACAGAUGAAAAAGUAACUGUUUUUAGAAGCAUGACCACUUAAAAUAUAUUGUUUCAGCAUACAAUCACAGUAAAAGUAUAGCAAUGAGAACUUUUAUAGUUAGAUUGUUACUUUAUUCAUGAACAAUAUAGGCUUAUAAACCCUUUUUUAUAUAUAUAUCAGUUAUUUAAUAUUUAUUUAAACUAAUUUAGAAAUAUUCUUUA